ensembl:miRNA mir-786 ncRNA
UAAUGCCCUGAAUGAUGUUCAAU